AUCCUGGCUCAGAACGAACGCUGGCGGCAUGCCUAACACAUGCAAGUCGGACGCCGCAGCCGCCUUCGGGCGGCAUGUGGAGUGGCGGACGGGUGAGUAACGCGUAGGAACCUGCCCGGAUGUGGGGGACAACCGCUGGAAACGGCGGCUAAUACCGCAUACGCCCCGAGGGGGAAAGGCUUCGGCCGCUUUCGGAGGGUCCUGCGUUCGAUUAGCUAGUCGGUGGGGUGACGGCUCACCGAGGCGACGAUCGAUAGCUGGUCUGAGAGGAUGAUCAGCCACACUGGGACUGAGACACGGCCCAGACUCCUACGGGAGGCAGCAGUGGGGAAUAUUGGACAAUGGGCGAAAGCCUGAUCCAGCAAUGCCGCGUGUGUGACGAAGGCCUUAGGGUUGUAAAGCACUUUCACCCGCGAGGAUGAUGACGGUAGCGGGAGAAGAAGCCCCGGCUAACUCCGUGCCAGCAGCCGCGGUAAUACGGAGGGGGCGAGCGUUGUUCGGAAUUACUGG
rnacentral:rRNA from 1 species